GGCUAGACAAAAAAGAGAAGUUUAUUUCUUGAUCAGUAUCAUUCCUAUCGGGUGUUCCAGAAGAUGGCUUUCUAAAUCAUUCAGGAAGCAAGGUCCUUUCCAGCUUGUACAGCUUGUGUCUCUGCAAUCUUGAGGGCUUUGCUCGUCGCUGCCAUGACAAUAGAAGGGGAAAUAACACAGGGGCGUGUGGGUGGAGGUGUGGGGGCCAGGACUGGAAGUGGUAUCAAUUAUUUCUGCUCAUAUCCCAUUGGCUAACACUCAGUUACCUGUUCACACCCCACAACAAGAAAAUAUGGUAUCUUUGUCCAGGAAAAAGACAAAAUGGAUUUAGAUGGACAACUAUCUCUGCUAAACGAGAUGGACAACAAUCUCUCCCAAACUUAAGAUAACACGCUUUCCUCACAUCCCAGCAUGAUACCUGAGAAGUACGAAUAUCUCCUGAAACUAAGAGAAGUAAGGAAACAAUGAGAGAUUACAGAUUGCCUCAUCUUGUAAGUCUCUGGCUGUGUGAGGAGGAAAAGGAGGAUGAUCUCAUGGGAGUCAGCACAGAGAGAGCAUACCUGAAGAAACCUUGUGAGUAGGGGACCAAUGACUUAGCAGUGACCUGUUUGGACAGAAAUCUACAGACCAGAAUGAAUGGUGGAUUUCUCAGCAGAUCUCAGGAGAUGCAAGUACAGAUUAUGACACAGGGGCCAGAUGCCCUGCUCCUCUCACCCACCCCAGCAUUUGAAACCCAAUGGCUUUGUGAGGUUGGAGUUAACUGCUAUUGAAGAGAUGCUUCAGGCUCUGGUCAACACAACGAAAGACAGGGAACGGAAAUCGCCAUUUGAUGUGAAGAGAGUGACUUUAAAAGAAGACAAGAAGAAGACACAAGAAGAUUUGCUCCAAACUAGUUCUUCCCAUAAAACCUCUGCGCCGGCUGGGCGUGGUGGCUCACGCCUGUCAUCUCAUCACUUUGGGAGGCCGAGACCAGUCCAAGAAGAAGAUUGGAUAUAAGAGAUACUUGACAAUUUCAAAGUCCUAGGCCCGCUUCCUGAGCUGAGCAAGGUAAGUUGUGGACUUUUUAGAUCUCCACUUUACACAGACACCUACUUACUGGGUUCUAUCAGACUCUGUCUUAUGAAUAACUUUUGAAAAAAUAUGUGGUGUCGAUAAGAUUCAUUCAACGCUUCACUGAUAUUGAUAAUGUGUCUAUUUACUCUGAGCCAGGCACUGUUCUGAGUGCUGGGGAUUCAAACAAAAUCAAUGAAAGUCACUUUCAUUCAUUGUGAACAAAAUCAAUAAAACUCACUUUCUUGUGAAGAUUAUGUUUAAUAGGGAAAUACAGCGAUAACACCUAAUAGAUAUAAUACAUUCAUCAAGUAUAAUAAGUAAAAAUAUAGUACAUUAGAAGUUGCUGAAUGUUAUGGAACAGAAAUUGUGCAGAAAUGAGGGUGAUUAAGAAUGCAAAAAUGGUAGUAGUUUUCAAUGUUCAAUAGAGUGCUCAAGAGUAGGGGUCUUUUAAACAGAAAAAUACGGCAAAGACUAGAAGAAGGGGAAUCAGAGAGCCCUCUGGAUAUCUAAGGAAGCUGUGUUCUAGACAGAGGAAAAAGCCAUAUUUGAGGUGUGAAACUGCAAGUUCCAAGUUUCAGUGGCAUGAAAGGAAAUCAAGGGCUUAAAAAGCAGCUGAUUUUAUGUCUAGCUGGGUCUUAGAGGACAAGUGGAGAAGGAUAAGCAGAAGCCAGAUGAUUGAACGCUGUGUGUGCUGUUAAAUUGUUUAUACUUUAUCCUAUGGGGGCCAGUUUAUCUUUCACACAGGAUACAUUCAUAGACAGGAUAGAUACAUAGACUCUUAUCUGCUGACCUUUGGAUAUAGGAGGCUCUCAAUAAAUGUCUAAUGAAUUAAAACAUGUUUGAUUUUAAAAAAGCUUCUAGUAGUGCAGUAGUGGCAAGAAUGAUAAGAAAUAGUUCUUUUUCACAAACAAUUGUAUGAGUAAAUUUUAUCUGUAAUAGUUUCCUAUUGCCACCAUAACAAAUUACCACAUUAGUGACAACACAAAUUUAUCAUCUUGCAGUUCUAUAGGCCACACAGCCAGGAUUCAGUGGCUGUGGUCUGGGCUGACCACACCCAGACGUCAGUGGUCUGGGCUGUUAUCUGGGGAACAACUGGCUUCUAGGAUCUUUCAGGUUGUUGACAGAGUCUAGUUCCCUGGUUUUAGUACCAAGGUCUCCAUUUCUUUGCUGGUUGUCAGCUGGGGCUUGCUCUUAUCUCCUAGAAGUCCUUCUCAGGCCCUUGCAUGUGGGCCCCUGUAUCUCAGAGCCAGCAACAACUUGAAGUAAAAUCCUUCUUCAGAUUAGAUUUGUUCUGACUUUCUCUUUUCUUCCUCUUUUCCCAUCACUCCAUCUCUUAAAACCAAUUCUCUGCCUUUCUUUUCUGAUUUUAAAGGACCAUGGAAUUUCACUGAGCCUACCCAGAUAAUCCAGGAUAAGCUCCCUGUUUAAGGUGAUUAGUAACUGUGAUGCUGUGAAAUAUAUAUUUGGUCUUUGUCCUAUUUCCUGGCAUACAGCUCUUAAAAUCCUUAGAAUCUCCAGAGUGGUAAGAGUGUCCUUUUUAUGCUAAUGAGAUGCCUGUUCAUUGGGGCCAUCUAGAUUGCCUCAUGAUUGGGGCUGGUCACAAGAAAGACCAAGCUAUGACUAUGCGGUUGGAACUUUAAUCCCAUCACCAACCUCCGGGUUGGAAGAGAAGGUAAAGGAUAAGUUGACCACUAAUGGUCAGUGGUUUAAUCAAUCGCACCUACGUAAUGAAACUUGCAUUAAAACCCCCAAAGGACUGAGUUUUGAUGGCUUGGGGAUAGCUGAGCAUUUGGAGGAUUUGGGAGGGUGGUGCACCCAUGGAGGGCAUGGAAGCUCCGUGUCCCCUCCCAAAUGCCUCACCUUAUGCCUCCCUUCCAUCUGGAUGUUCAUCCGUAUUCUUCGUCAUCUUCUAUUUGGUAUUAUUGCAAUUUUAUAUUAUAUAAUAUUGCAAUAGCGUAUUAUAAUAUUACAAUAUAAUUUGAAAUAUUCUUUAUAAUAAACCAAUGUAUGUGUGUUGCAGAGUGCUGUCAUUUGCUGUAGUAUAUUAAUAGAACCCAAGAAAGCAGUUGGGGGAACCUAGUUCGUCAGAAGCAAAGGUAAAACAACCUGAGGCUCGUGAUUGGCAUGAAAGGUAGUGGCAGUCUUAUGGGACUGAGCCCUCAACCUGCGGGAUCUCAUGUUGCUUCCAGGUAGAUAGUGUCAGAAUUGAUUUAGAGGACAGCCAGCUAGUGUCUGCUGCAGAUACCUCUGUGGAAUUGCCUGGCGUAGGUGGGAAUGCCCCCCUCCCCGUGCCCCCUCACAUUGGUGUCAGAAGUAUUGAAUGAGUGAAUAAUAAUAGAAAAAGCACUUCAGAUUUCUGUAUUCUCACAGUAACCUUAAUUGUAUCUGCUAUUAAGGUUAGUGUAGUGUAGUGCUUAGAUUCAUGUUUGAAUAACUAGAGGAUGGGUAUCUUGUGGGAGACAUCUUUAGAAUUUUUACCUAUCACAGUGUCAUGUCUUGGGGUGACUCAUGCUCAAAUAAUGAUUUUUUUUUUUUUUUCUCCAGUGGGAUACAGUUGAAGGGAGCUAGGUGGUAGUACAGAACCUAUUCUCUGGGGAAGAACUGACAUAGGAGUUGUUACUAAGUUGCAGUUGACAGUAAAGGGAUAGUGAGUUGAGGGGUUCAAUUUUUGAGGAGUGAUGCAGUCUAAUUUACAAGGCAGAAAAAUGUCAUUUCCAGUUAAGUCCAUAGUGAGUAAACCAGAAAGCAGGGGAUACAGAGAGCCAAGUAGACAGUGAUGCUUAUUCAUAGAAUUGAUCUGUCUGUAGGCAUAGGUCUCCUUUGCUGGGUAGGGUUCAGGACAGGGCCUCGGUCUUCAGGCGGUGAAAGGCAAUGGGGUGAUCAUGGGGUUUUAGGCAGAGGACAAGUCAAAAUUAACCUAUAGGGUUAAAAUAAAAUGAAAAGACAAAGAAAGCAAAUGUGUAACAAGGGCAAUUUAGGGACGAGAGCCAGCUGUAUGCACUGCUUCAUGACAACAAUUUUGACACUGACUUGAUGUAAGUCAUUUUUACAAAGAAGCUUAACAGUUUGUCAAUAGUGCUGUAUAAAUACAAAUGUCUAGUCUAAAUCCUUCUGCCUUUAGAACAUGUCCCAUUUCUCCUCUUGUAAAUGCAGUGACAUAGCUGACAAUAUAUAACAAGAGUUGGUAGCUUACUAUGUUUCAGAGGUGGAAGCGGGCAACAUUCCUCAAUCGGCUUUUCUUUUGUUCUAUAGACUUAAAUAUAUAUAUAUUUAUACAUAUCUAUUUAUAUAUUUAUA
ensembl:lncRNA